AUGGCCGCGCAGCCGCCCAGCUCCUCGCCGCAAGAUGGUUCCGGCGGAGGCGGAUCCUCGGAAAAUCUGGUACUCCAAGCCCCACAGGCAGUGCGGGAGGAUUACGUGCAGAACGCCGUCAAUUUCCUCGCGCAUCCGAAGGUGAAGGGUUCUCCGGUGUCCUACAGGUACUCUUUCCUGGAGAAGAAAGGGCUCACCAAGGAGGAAAUCGACGAGGCCUUCCGCCGGGUUCCUGAUCCGCCGACAAGCAGUACGGAUGCUGCGGCUGUUGGUUCGCAACAAGCAAGCAAUCCAAAUCAAUCUGCGGGGGUGCAGCCUUACGCAUCAGUUCAGACGCCACAAGCGCCAACUGGCUCUGUCGCCACUGGUCAUAUAGUCCCACAAACACAGACACAAUUUAGCUGGUAUCAUACACUCCUUGGUGCUGGUAUUUUCCUUGGAGUUGGAGCUAGUUCAGUUGUCAUCAUCAAGAAAUUGUUCCUGCCUAGGCUAAAAUCUUGGACCCGUAGAGUCGUUUCUGAAGGAGAUGAAAAUGCGGACAACGAUCUGAAAUCCAAGCUUUAUGAUGAAAUUAAAGAGGCUAUGGAAGCUUCCUCAUCAGCCUUUUCUGCUAUUGCUAAAACAAACCAAGAAUUGCUGGCUUCAAAGGAAGAAGAUAAGAAGAUACUUGUAAAGUUAACAGAAGCAUUGGAUUCUCAGGCAGAGGUGUUGAAAUCCUUGAGCGAGACCUUACAUCAUACAAGGGAGAAUCGGUUUUCGCAGUACAAUAUGUUGGAAGAGCAUGCUCAACCUGGACCAUGGAAUGGGCCAACUACUAAUUCAUGGAGAACUUCCCAGCAAACCAACAUGUACACAACGACGCCAAAUGGUGAUUUUGACUCAGGGAGGCACCCGUUCAUGCCAUUACCUGCAGAACCUACAGCGGGAUCAUUUCCAAGAUCUUAUGUUGAUCAGCGGGUGCCGAGGGCUGGGUACGGGUUCCAGCCGCAGAUGGGCUAUGACAGAUCGAACCCUGGCACUCGGGAGGGCUACUACGGUUCUCCUCCGUACUACCCUGGGGGCAGCAACGCCGUUGAUGCUCCAGCACCGGCACCAGCUCCGGUAGCGGUACCAGCACCGGCGCCAGCACCAGCACCGACACCAGUUGCACAGGAAAGCCCGUUCCAGCGCCACUGGGUUCCCCCACAGCCACCAGGGGUCGCCAUGCCAGAGGCCGCGGCCGCCAUUCGGCAGCCAAGGUCCCUUCCAAGACAAGAGCCACAGCCAGCAGCAAGCUCAGCCGAUGCUCCUAGACCGGCAGACUCUGCCGUAAAUGAGCAGAUGGACGGUGUAUCAUCCGCUGUCACCAGUGACGAGUCGCCUAGUAGCAGCGCUGCCGUGGGCACCAUGGCCGGCGCGGCCAACGGUGAGAAUGGAGAAGGGCCUGGAGCCGCCUGA
rnacentral:rRNA from 1 species